rnacentral:rRNA from 1 species
UGGCGGACGGGUGAGUAACGCGUGGGCAACCUGGCCUGUACAGGGGGAUAACACUUAGAAAUAGGUGCUAAUACCGCAUAAGCGCACGGCUCCGCAUGGGGCAGUGUGAAAAACUCCGGUGGUAUACGAUGGAUCCGCGUCUGAUUAGCUAGUUGGCGGGGUAACGGCCCACCAAGGCAGCGAUCAGUAGCCGGCCUGAGAGGGUGGACGGCCACAUUGGGACUGAGACACGGCCCAAACUCCUACGGAAGGCAGCAG